CUUGUAUUAACACUAUUUCACAAUGAUUAACAUUAAGUUAACACCAUUUCACAAGAAUGUUUUCUGAAGAUACCUCUUAACCAUUUACUAACACCAUUUCACAAGAAUGUUUUCUGAAGAUACCUCUUAACCAUUUACUAACACCAUUUCACAAGAAUGUUUUCUGAAGAUACCUCUUAACCAUUUACUAACACCAUUUCACAAAAAUGUUUUCUGAACAUACCUCUUAACCAUUUACUAACACCAUUUCACAAGAAAGUAUUUAGAUUGUUAUUAUGGAUACACCUAUUGGAUAAAUGUGUAAACUCCUCUCUUGCUGCUGAAAAAUGUGCCUAGUUUUCAGGGCUUGUGGGUGGGUUCUGAGCAGUCAUGGGCUAGAAAUUUUAGCUUGACCUGACAACACUGAGCACAACAAAAAUGACAGAGAAAUGGGACACCGAUACACGGAAAUAAUCCGGGAAAUAUGAACAUAGGAAACCAUACAUUGAAUUGAAUAAACAGAACUUCUACCUGAAUCUUGCAUAUGUUCAUGUGCACUAUAAACACCAUGCCCACUCAGAGCAGGGUAAGAAAUGGUUGGCUAAAUGAAAAUGUAUCAUAGGCCUAUUAAACAUGAAACAGAAAUGUCUACGUGUUGCAAUAAACAGUAAGGGGAUGGAAUGAUGAAAUGCUAGCAAUAAUUGUAGUAUUAGAUAGAAUAUAGAUUUACCACAUAGGGCAUAUGCAUUUAAAUUUGUGAAAGUAACAGCAAACAUUUCAACAUAAUGAGGGGCAACUUACUGGUUUGGUCAGGGCCAGCGUGAAGGAUAAAGUUUAUCCUGUGUCGGUCAGUGUAGCUAUUAACUGAAGUUUGAGCGUCUUAGCAAUACAAUGUGUUCUAUACAGCUGUCAACAUUCUACAAGGAAAGAUUUACAUAAUCAUUAACCAGGUUACCCCGGAUACCAGACUUAGAUGAGUGAUAACUCAUUUCUAGAAUGUUGUCAUUGAUGAGAAUGAAUCAAAACAUCUAUUGACAUAUAUUCACAUUCAGAAAUGUUUGAAUUUAUUAUUUAGACAUCCAGAGACAAAUCUACCAAUACACAGUAUUUACUUUUUAGGAGUGCUCUGUCAUAGAGCAGUAGUUCCCAACCUUUUUCGGUUACUGUACUGUACGACCAACUGAAUUCUGCUCUGCCCAGGGUACCCCCUCAUAUGCAUUUUACCAGUAGGGCUAUGGCCUCAUGAGUCUUCUUAAGUACCCCCUGUGGAUAGGCCAAGUACCUUCAGGGAUCCUAGUACCUCUGGUUGGGAACCACUGUCAUAGAGCUAAAUGCAUUCAUAGUCUUGAUUUGUAUGAUCCUUCCCAUUUGUAUUUUCAAAGUCAGGUGAAAAAAUCCUGUUCAACAGAUGCACUCAGUGGAGCAAAACUGUUUUUGUGGUUUGUGUGGGAAAAAUGUUGAGGCAAUCCCCAACAGCCUGAAGAAACACCUGGUGGGAAUAACAAGGACCUUCUAGUGGAAGUGAACCACAACUAGGCUACUAACUAAGCACUAUGUAGGCAAGCCUCACUCACUGGACAAUGAGUUGACUCACUCCAUUUUCAUAGAACACAGAAUAACACCUAAGAAUGCUGAGCUGGAAAAUCAUAUAUCAUUAUGUGGAUGGGACAUUCCUGCUGGGAUGGAGGAUUUAUCUGGAAUGCUUAACUAGAUGAUCAGGACAGUCAAGGGUACUAUUUGUCCAAAAGAGGUGAAGUCUUGCAAUGAGCUAUACGACUGUACUUAUGAUAAAAAUUCUCAAGAGCAAAGUUAAAACACUCUGAGCCGUAAAAUCACCAAGGAGGAGCAACAGUGGUUGAGGAAUCAUCUGAAAGGGACUGACGUGUCUAACUGACGUCACAGGUAAUUUGAUUAGUCAUGUACAACAGAUGCAUUCGUGGAACAAAACCGUUUCUGUGGUUUGUAUGGGAAAAACAUUGAGCCCACAAGAUGCACCUCAGUGAGAACAUUCUGGAACUGUGCCAUGGUGGAGGUGCCUGUGUAGCAGUGUGAUGUUGUUCCCCUAGAUUAUGCACCAAGUUGCACACAAGGACCAAUUCAAAUAGGCCAGGUCAAGAGGGGAUGUUAAUCAUUUGAUAAUAAUAAAAAUAAUUCUGUGUGUUUUUUUAUAUUUAAUUACAGCUGCAUAGCUAAUGUUAUUUUUUGGUGUACAAACAGUUUUUCAUAUCAAUAUUGUACAUACAAGUGAUUGUAAAAGUUUUGUAUAUUUUGGUUUGGCCCAUCGAGGGUUAUCUGUAUUUCCGUACCUCCUUAUUGUUCUCUUUUGCCUGACCUUCGGCUUAGCGAGGGCAAAUAAAAAUAAUCCAACCAACAGACCUCCAGUUGUGGCAGUGUCCUCAUUAAAAGAAUCCAACCAACAGACCUCCAGUUGUGGCAGUGUCCUCAUUAAAAGAAUCCAACCAGCAGACCUCCAGUUGUGGCAGUGUCCUCAUUAAAAGAAUCCAACCAACAGACCUCCAGUUGUGGCAGUGUCCUCAUUAAAAGAAUCCAACCAGCAGACCUCCAGUUGUGGCAGUGUCC
rnacentral:lncRNA from 1 species